rnacentral:misc_RNA from 1 species
UUUUUUUUUUUUUUAAUAUAUUAUAAUCUUUGAAUGAAUUGAAUUUAUGUCCUGUGUCCAAAUAGCAACUGUAAUAUUUGAACAGCAUAAAUUUAUGUAGAAAUUAUUACACUUAAGAAUAAUUUUAAUUAAUAUCAAAAUUUUUAAUCUAGUUGUAUUAGAAAGAAACAUGGAUUUUUAAGAUUUUAGACGUUCAUUCCCAACCUGAGAUUUGAAAUUAAGAAUUGUCUGUGCUUCUUUUGCAUGGAUGCACCUUACCUGUUUGGAUAAUGGCUUGCUAUGGACAUAAUGUAUGGUAUGGUUUCUGAUUGUUAUUGAUAAUGUUGGUUUUGGAUAGGGAUGAGCACUAUUUGGAGUAAAUUAAAUAAAUUGGAUUGAAUGUCUCAAGUUAAUAAUAUAAUUUGAUUUUUAAGAUAAUUUGAUUUGGUUUAGGUUGAUUUUAUAUUUUAAAAAAUUUUGAUCAUUUAGUUUUAUUUGAUUUUGGAGAAAAAAAUGGGUGGAUUGAAUUGAAUCAAAUUGUUUUAUUAAUUUUUAAAUUUAUUUAUUUUUAUAUAAAAUAUAUGAGUUAUUUGUAAUUUUAUAUGUAUAUAUUCAUGGAUUAAUGUUUAUAGGAUCAAAUUAAAGUUAAAAUCAUAUCAAAUAACUUAAAAAUAAAAUCUAAAUUAAAAAAAAUUUAGCAAAACUCAAAAUGGAUUAGUUCGAAUUGAUUUUUUAUUCAUUCGAUUUGAUUUUUAAAUAUGAUAUUUUGAUUAAUUCAGUUUUAAUGAUUUAGUUUAAUUCAGUUUGAACUGAAUACUUAAUUUUAGUUUUGGGUGUUACUAUUUUACUACAGCAGCUCCUAAUUUGGUAGUUGAGAUGUCUUAAAGAUUUUAUGUUCUCAUUUAUAAUAUCAAUUUUAUCCUAUUUUGUUAUCUUUAUAAUCCCUUCUGCAUCCUUUCCUCCCUAUUAAAGGGUGUUUUAGUAAUUUUAUAUUUAUUUUAUUGCAAAGGAAAUUAUUAAACCAUUUUAUACCCUACAACCUGUUCAAACAUUUUAAUAAUAAAAACUAUACAUUUAAUAAAUCUGUGUAGUCCGUCUUUUUCUUUUUUUU